GCGGAGAUGGUGCAAUGGCAGCACAAGGGGCUCAUAACUCCUAGACGAGGUUCGAAUCCUCUGUCCGCA
rnacentral:tRNA from 1 species